rnacentral:rRNA from 1 species
GGAUAAUCUGCCCUCAGGUGAGGAAUAAUCCCGGGAAACUGGGGCUAAUGCCUCAUAGGAGACGGGUGCUGGAAUGCUCUGUCUCCGAAAGGUCCGCCGCCUGAGGAUGAGUCUGCGUCCGAUUAGGUUGUUGUUGGGGUAACGGCCCAACAAGCCUUUGAUCGGUACGGGUUGUGGGAGCAAGAGCCCGGAGAUGGAUUCUGAGACAUGAAUCCAGGCCCUACGGGGCGCAGCAGGCGCGAAAACUUUACAAUGCGAGCAAUCGUGAUAAGGAAACCCUGAGUGCCUGUCAAUGCAGGCUGUUCUGGUGUCUAACACACACCAGGAGAAAGGGCGGGGCAAGACCGGUGCCAGCCGCCGCGGUAAUACCGGCUGCUCGAGUGAUAGCCACUUUUACUGGGCUUAAAGCGUUCGUAGCUUGGUCGUUAAGUCUCUGGGGAAAUCUUUUGGCUCAACCAAAAGGCGUCUCAGGGAAACUGACGAUCUUGGAACCGGGAGUGGUAAGACGUACUUCGGGGGUAGGAGUGAAAUCUUGUAAUCCCCGAGGGACGACCGAUGGCGAAGGCAUCUUACCAGAACGGCUUCGACAGUGAGGGACGAAAGCUGGGGGAGCAAACCGGAUUAGAUACCCGGGUAGUCCCAGCCGUAAACGAUGUGCGUUAGGUGUGUCAGUGACCACGAGUCCCUGAAGGUGCCGAAAGGGAAACCGUGAAACGGCACCGCCUGGGAAGUACGGUCCCAAGGCUGAAACUUAA